CAGCCCAGUCCCAGAAGGAGCUUGGGAAUACAGCAGUAGGCUUUAAAGCUUGCGUGUCUUUUGCCUACGCUUCUGGAAUCCUCAAGUUGUGUUGACCUACCUGGGAACACUGCUGGCUCCAGAAUGCCAAGCUCCACAGAAAUGUGAAAUUAACAAGGAAUUGUUCACCUGAUAAAAAGGAACGUGGAGAGAUGGUUCUUGAACCUGAAUAGGAGGAGAUCGUGCCUGGACACUGGGAAGAAUCUUCUGCAUUGAUUUGAUUAAAAAACAACUACAUAA
rnacentral:lncRNA from 1 species